GACGAACGCUGGCGGCGUGCUUAACACAUGCAAGUCGAAUGAUGAAGCUGGAGCCUGCUCCGGUGGAUUAGUGGCGAACGGGUGAGUAACACGUGAGCAAUCUGCCCUUGACUCUGGGAUAACUGCGGGAAACUGUAGCUAAUACCGGAUACGAGAUUUGGAGGCAUCUCCGGAUCUGGAAAGAAUUUCGGUCAAGGAUGAGCUCGCGGCCUAUCAGCUUGUUGGUGAGGUAAUGGCUCACCAAGGCGACGACGGGUAGCCGGCCUGAGAGGGUGACCGGCCACACUGGGACUGAGACACGGCCCAGACUCCUACGGGAGGCAGCAGUGGGGAAUAUUGCACAAUGGGCGAAAGCCUGAUGCAGCAACGCCGCGUGAGGGAUGAAGGCCUUCGGGUUGUAAACCUCUUUUAGCAGGGAAGAAGCGAAAGUGACGGUACCUACAGAAAAAGCACCGGCUAACUACGUGCCAGCCGCCGCGGUAA
rnacentral:rRNA from 1 species